CGAGUUGGCAGGGCGGCCGCGACGCCGCAUCCACGAGGUGCGGUUUCGAGGAAAGUCCGGACUCCACAGGGCAGGGUGGUUGUUAACGGCAACCCGGGGUGACCCGCGGGACAGUGCCACAGAAAACAGACCGCCCGGCGGCUCCGGCCGCCGGGUAAGGGUGAAACGGUGGUGUAAGAGACCACCAGCGCCCCGGGUGACCGGGGCGGCUUGGUAAACCCCACCCGGAGCAAGGUCAAGAGGGAGCGUGCGCGCUCCUGCGCAGGCGUUCGAGGGCGGCCCGUCCGAGGCCUGCGGGUAGACCGCUGGAGCCUGCCGGCAACGGUAGGCCGAGAUGGAUGGUCGCCACCCACGGCACGUCCGUGGGCACAGAAUCCGGCUUACAUGCCAACUCGUCCU
rfam:Prauserella sp. Am3 HQ32_scaffold_10.11, whole genome shotgun sequence.